rnacentral:snoRNA from 1 species
UUUCGUGAUGAUACAAAAAUUUUCAAAGCAUAGUUCACCUGAGGACUCUGUGUCCGAUGAACGAAGCAAAAUUAUCCAUCUUUCGCUCCUAUCUGAUA